CAGUCGCCGCGGUAAUACAGAGGGUGCGAGCGUUAAUCGGAUUUACUGGGCGUAAAGCGUGCGUAGGCGGCUUUUUAAGUCGGAUGUGAAAUCCCUGAGCUUAACUUAGGAAUUGCAUUCGAUACUGGGAAGCUAGAGUAUGGGAGAGGAUGGUAGAAUUCCAGGUGUAGCGGUGAAAUGCGUAGAGAUCUGGAGGAAUACCGAUGGCGAAGGCAGCCAUCUGGCCUAAUACUGACGCUCAUGCACGAAAGCGUGGGGAGCAAACAGGAUUAGAUACCCCAGUAGUCCCUGUCUCUUAUAC
rnacentral:rRNA from 1 species